GCCACAAUAGCUCAGUUGGUAGAGCAAGGGACUGAAAAUCCCUGUGUCCUUGGUUCGAUUCCGAGUUGUGGCA
rnacentral:tRNA from 1 species